rnacentral:rRNA from 1 species
GGAAUAUUGCACAAUGGGGGAAACCCUGAUGCAGCAACGCCGCGUGAGUGAAGAAGUAUUUCGGUAUGUAAAGCUCUAUCAGCAGGGAAGAAGAAGGACGGUACCUGACUAAGAAGCCCCGGCUAACUACGUGCCAGCAGCCGCGGUAAUACGUAGGGGGCGAGCGUUAUCCGGAUUUACUGGGUGUAAAGGGAGCGUAGACGGUUUUUCAAGUCUGAAGUGAAAGCCCGCGGCUCAACUGCGGAACGGCUUUGGAAACUGAGGGACUAGAGUGCUGGAGGGGCAGGCGGAAUUCCUGGUGUAGCGGUGAAAUGCGUAGAUAUUAGGAGGAACACCGGCGGCGAAGGCGGCCCACUGGACUGUAACUGACGUUGAGGCUCGAAAGCGUGGGGAGCAAACA